GUGGGGAAUCUUGCGCAAUGGGCGAAAGCCUGACGCAGCCAUGCCGCGUGGAUGAUGAAGGUCUUAGGAUUGUAAAAUCCUUUCACCGGUGAAGAUAAUGACUGUAGUCGGAGAAGAAGCCCCGGCUAACUUCGUGCCAGCAGCCGCGGUAAUACGAAGGGGGCUAGCGUUGCUCGGAUUUACUGGGCGUAAAGGGCGCGUAGGCGGACAUUUAAGUCAGGGGUGAAAUCCCGGGGCUCAACCUCGGAACUGCCUUUGAUACUGGGUGUCUUGAGUAUGAGAGAGGUGUGUGGAACUCCGAGUGUAGAGGUGAAAUUCGUAGAUAUUCGGAAGAACACCAGUGGCGAAGGCGACACACUGGCUCAUUACUGACGCUGAGGCGCGAAAGCGUGGGGAGCAAACAGGAUUAGAAACCCCGGUAGUCC
rnacentral:rRNA from 1 species